AUUGAACGCUGGCGGCAGGCCUAACACAUGCAAGUCGAACGAGUGGCGGACGGGUGAGUAAUGUCUGGGAAACUGCCUGAUGGAGGGGGAUAACUACUGGAAACGGUAGCUAAUACCGCAUACCAUCGGAUGUGCCCAGAGGGGAUUAGCUAGUAGGUGGGGUAACGGCUCACCUAGGCGACGACCCCUAGCUGGUCUGAGAGUAUGACCAGCCACACUGGAACGGAGACACGGCCCAGACUCCUACGGGAGGAAGCAGUGGGGAAUAUUGCACAAUGGGCGCAAGCCUGAUGCAGACAUGCCGGGUGUAUGAAGAAGGCCUUAGGGUUGUAAAGUACUUUCAGCGGGGAGGCGUUACCCGCAGAAGAAGCACCGGCUAACUCCGUGCCAGCAGCCGCGGUAAUUC
rnacentral:rRNA from 1 species